AUAGUACUGAAUGGGCGCCGUUUUCAGUCCGGUAUCCAGCUCUUACAAUACAUCCAUACCGCGCACACAUUUCCACGCUUGUGUUAAUUAAAAAGUAACGGCGUCGAAAGUCAACUAAAUAAAACAAAUAAAACAUUAAUUUUACAGCCAAAACAACCGACUAGUGGCGGCCCUUUCGAAAGGCUAAGCCUGUGUGUAAAAACCAGAGCUUGCAAGCAGUUCUGCAGUAAUGGCAACACGAGGAAGACUUCUGGAGGAUGGCUCUAAAUUUGUUUAAGAGAAGAGGCCUGGGAGACUCGUAACUUCGUCACUCUACAGAUCUGUGAGCUUGGUUUGGCAAACAAUCAUGGAUGAAGUGGUGAAAAACUGCAACCAAACGACAGACGACAAGGAACCGGGACCUAAGUGCUCAAGCUGAAUGCAGCCGCAAAAGUUACAGGUAUCCUGUACCAGUAUGCCCAGGAGAAGUACUGGUUUACCACAUGUAAGAAGCCGUGGGCCAGGAAAUGGAAGGCUGUCAUGCAGCACAUCGAUGCCUGUCCUUUAACUCCUCUGUACAACAACCAUUUUGUGAAUAUGACAUCUUCAGAAAAAAAAUCCUCUGCAAAUGUGGAUAUCCUAAGCAGGUCUCAACAAGGUGAGUCACAUCUACCUGACAUGUGACGCACAUUUCCUGAUUUGGACAUCACUCCAAGAGUUGGGGGUGUUCCCCAGAGAUAAAGCUGAGCUACUGACGCACAAGG